rnacentral:lncRNA from 1 species
GAUUAAGAAAAGCGAAUACCAUAUGAGCUAAAAGUUGAAAAGAUAAAAGAUACAUUUUGACUUGGAAAGAAGUUGUCAAAUUGUACUAAGCAGUUUAGAUACUAUUCUCAAAUUUUCCUAAGGGAAAAUCUCUCCUAACUUAUGCUAAAGAAGAAGCAGAGCAGAGAAGCAAAGAGGAAGUCAGGGUCUCUUUGGCUUUAUUAUUGAGGAAUUCCAUUGCUGAAAAGGAAAAUAUCUGCUUACUCUUCUUAAGGAUCACCUCAACUGUGAAAAUCUUCAGUAUCUCAUGUCUCUAAUUGGAGAAGGCAUAGGGGGUUAUCCCAGUGAGCUCCUUCCAAAUCCUACAUUUAAAGUAGGAUGUCAGGGCAGUCAUCUCAUCAUUUUCUACCUAGAUGCACAUCUCCAGAAAUCAUCCUGCCUCCCAGAACAGGUUGAGGGCAUAAUUGGAAAUGAUACCCUAAAUACCUUUUAUAACUAUGCUGAGGUGGAAAAUUCAUGCUCAACAUUGGACAGAAUUGAUGAUAGAAGAUAAAAUUAAGACAUAUAAGCAAAAUAAAUAUAGCAAAAAUGAAAAGAUGAGAAGACUGAGGUCUGGAGAGAAUAUGUGAUUUAUCCACAGCCAUAAAAAUACAGAGUAGCAGGCAUGGCUUCUGAACACGUCUUCUGUCUCUACAUCCAGUGUAGAGCUGGACUCAGAAAGAAAAAUUAAAGCUAGAUAUAGAGAUUGAGUUCUACAAGGGAUAUAACAGGAAAGAAUGCUGGUGGCACAAAGAACUGAAGACUUGUCCCAAGAUCAACUUUAAAGAAAUUAUUAUAAUAAUUCCACCUUUGAACACCUUUGAAUAUCUUUCCUGGGAGAGGAAAGAGUAAGAUUGCUUUACCCAGG